rnacentral:lncRNA from 1 species
UGGGGCUAUAUGAAGGUGAUGUGGGGCUGUAAGAAGGUGAAGUGGGGCUGUAAGAUGGCGAAGUGGGGCUGUAUGCCGGAGAAGUGGGGCUGUAGGCCGGAGAAGUGGGGCUGUAUGCCGGAGAAGUAGGGCUGUAGCUAGGUGAUGUUGGGCUAUAGCUAGGCGAGGUUGGGCUAUAGCUUGGAGAUGUUGGACUAUAACUGGGUGAUGUGGGUGAGUAUGAAGGACUGGUUGGAGAAUAUGCUGGACUUGUCGGGCUGUAGCCAGGGGAGCUGGGGCUAUAAGUGGGGGAAGUGGGGCUGUAACCAGGAGAUGUGGGGCUGUAACCGGGGGAAGUGGGGCUGUAUCCUGGAGAGGUCGGGCUGUAACCAGGGGAUGAUGGGCUGUAACCAGGGGAUGAUGGACUGUAACCAGGGGAUGAAGUAGGAGAGAAAGCCAUGCCACCCACAUAAGGAGAAAAUUGAGCAUCUGUAAUCGGUGACAUCCGCAUAUUUGGGCUGAGCAAAUAAUUUGGAGACAUCAUUCCAUCAUGAUACGGGGUUCCACUGAUAGGUGAACGCCCAGGUGUCAUGCCAAAUUCAAGACCACCUUCCAUGUAGCUAGGUAAUGGUAUCUCAAUAGCUUGUUUCAACAUCUCCUCAUUGAGGUACAAAGAACAGCUUCCUGUGCCAAUUGGUGCAAGCUGACCUAACAUGAUAUUUUCUGUUACACCCCUCAGGUGAUCUGACUCUGCA